CCCCCCCCCCCCCCCCCCCCCCCCCCCCCCCCCCCCCCCCCCCCCAGGGGCCCGGAGAGACCCGGGAAGGCCCGCGGAGCCCCGAGGAGCCCGGUGCCGGCGCACGGGCUGCACCGCCGGCCGGCCCAUGGCCCCGGGCCCGCCCCUCCGCAGCCGGGGCAGCGGCGCUUCGCCGGCGGCAAUCGCGAACAGCGCGGCCGGGACUCGGUCCCGAGCGGCCUGAGUUUGUAACGCGGCGGCGGCGCACGGACCCUGGUGCUGCAGCGGCGGGACCGCAGAAACACUGCGGGUGGGACAGCGGUGAGCUCGGCAGGCUCUGUGGCCGCCUGCAUAUCGUGGAGCUUGCUGCUUAACAGCAGAAAUAAAGCGCUUGUCAGGCAGCAGCAGUGCGUCAGUGCAAAAUUGAAUUCGCAAGACUAAAGUUUACACGAGGCAACAACAAAAUCUACUGUGCCAUUCUGUGAGGCAACAAAGGUAAUUUGUUAUGCAACAUAAUGAGGACUUGUGUGUGAUAGGCAGCAGUGGCUCUUGGUUGCAGGGCAUUGACAUCAACAAGCAC
rnacentral:lncRNA from 12 species